CUGUUGCCUGUGCGCUGACGUUUUAAACAAAGUGUCAGAGGAUCCAUUUAAUUGGGAAAUUUAUUGGUCAGCUACAGCAGCAUAGGAGACGACAUACUGUCUGGCCCUCUCUUGUUGGCUUUCUUUGGCUCGCAUGUUCUGCGGUUUGCUGGAAAUGCUUUCAUACAGGGGAAAGUGGUCCACUAAAAAAUAAAAAGAAGAAACAACGAUAAAAACUAGAGACAAAUUCGUGUAAAAGAAGUGGAUUUGUUUUGAAUGACAACAACUGGAAUAUUUUGUGAGCUCGUUCCGAUUAUGAGACUUUCCCGCUAAUUAUAUUUGUACAGGCCACACGCUAUGGACAUUCAGAGACAUUGUUCAUUGCUCAACAUUUUUGUCAUUUUCCAACUACUUAUCAAUCGUAUUUUCCAAGAGUCUCGUCUAAUCCUAGGCGGAAAAGUGGUCCUCGCUGCCAAACGACUAAUGAGCAUUUCUUUCCAUUAUCUCAUCAUGCAAAUGUACGCAAUUGCGAAGCGUAUCCUAACGCCGGGAAUUGGACUUGCACAACUCUGCGUAACGUGAAAGAUCCGUCACACAUGGCACAAGGUGAAGUCCUAAUCUGUUUUUGGUCAGAUAAAAACCACAGAUGCAGAUACAUAAACACUCUCACACACACACACACACAAUAUUGCAGUUGCAGUUUCCGUUGCAAAAUGAGAUUGUCAGCUAUGGGAUGACAGACCUUCGUAAUAUCCCCUCAAUUAAAAAGACGUUCAUCAUCGAUUUGUUUAUUAUGCAAUUGCAAUUUCAAUUGCAUUCAUAUCAAACCAGAUAUCGACCAAAACAAACAUCCAGGCAGCGCCCAACUGUGCCAAAAGGUAAACCAGUAGGUGGUGCCGGAAGUGCCCGAGAAUCCAUCCACAAAACAAACCUAGGUGAGGUAUCUGUUGUGCAGUUUCCCAUCAACAGGAGACAACAAACUAAUCAAAACUAAUGAUGACAUAAUUGGCUCGGAAGCAGGACCCUAUGUGUGGGUCCUCUGUGUAAUCGAAUAGGAAUUGAUAUAGGAAGAAAACUGAGGAAGUGGCUGACGCAGUGCGAAAACAAAGCCACAUACAAAUUGGGUCUACCAAGGAAACAAACAUCAGCCAUCAGUCAGGGGUCCUCAAAAAAAAGAAGGAAGAAGACGGAAAGAACAUCUCGCACAAGUUACAAGUAAAUAAAAAGAAAACGAGAAAAAGUGUAAAAAGAUAAUUGAUUUGUUUGCAAAACUGCAAUGCGAUGACACUUUGGAUUUUAAUGCCCAUGGUGUGGUCCUGUUCUGUGUUCAGCAAUUAGCCGGAACGUUAUAAUUACAAUGAGGAAAUUGUUGUGACAUUUGGUAAAAGUCAAAACUAUUGAGCAAUUCAUCAAUAUGCUGCCACACAGAUUGCUUUCCUUUCUCAAAUGGCUUUUUCUUCGACUUUUCUUCCCUUUUCUAUUUUUUUAUUCAUUAUAAUUUUUGUGGCACGGAUGUUGCCCCGCGGUGUAGCGUGUGCUACUGUCGGCUUCCAUUUCCCGUGGGGAACUAAAGUCAAACCACACAGCUGCCAUCCAUACAAG